UGGGGUAUGGUGUAAUCGGCAGCACGACAGGUUCUGGCCCUGUUAGUCUAGGUUCGAGUCCUGGUACCCCAG
rnacentral:tRNA from 2 species